GCCUGGGUGGCUCAGUCAUUUAAGUGUCUGACUUCGAUUCAGGUCAUGAUCUCCAUGGUUCGUGGGUUUGAGCCCCACACUGGGCU
rnacentral:tRNA from 1 species